rnacentral:lncRNA from 1 species
UCUGAAGAGGCUGGGAAUGCUGGCCUACGGGGAAGGCAUGUGUGGAGUUGACCUUCAGAGAGCAGUAUCAGGCGUAUCAAAUGCACUCACCCUUCUGAGAUUCCUUCUUCCCUUUGACAUUGCUAAAAAUGGAAUCAGCUGCAAACGGGCCUGAUGCAGAAGUGCUUCUCCUUCCCCUUGCCCCUGGACCUGAGCCGGAGCUGUCUAUCUACAUGAGGACACCAUCUGGCAACACUGAAAUGUUGCCCUCACUGUAUGCCAUCACCAGGAAGACAAGCAAUAGAUGAUGAGUGAAAAUAAAAUGUUUAGUUGGAAACUAUUUGGGAAUGGCUUUAUGUCCACAUAUGGACACAGCCUGGCUGGAACUGGGGAGAUCUUCCCUUUCUGGUGUCUUUUCAAGGUCUUGAGAUGAGCUCUAACAAAUAUCUCAGGCCAUCUGGCCUAGUUUUUCAUAAUUGUGACUCCUAAAUGUAAACACGGUCCGAGAGAAUAUCGGGAACAAAAAAAAGGCUAAUGAAAUUCUUCUAAUUUAACGGAGUUGUUCUGAGUCUCAUUCAGUUACUUAAACAUUUUUUUCUUUCCUUCUCGCAGUCAUCAAUCCUGGAAAAUCU